CUAAGAAUACGUCGUUCCUUCGGGGAACGCUGAAGACAGGUGGUGCAUGGCUGUCGUCAGCUCGUGUCGUGAGAUGUUGGGUUAAGUCCCGCAACGAGCGCAACCCUUGAUCAUUAGUUAGCCAGCAUUAAGUUGGGGCACAUCUUAAAUGAAGAACAUGUCGCGGAUGGACAAUAAACCGUGAGAGAAGAGGUGUGGGAUGUACAGUCUAAGAUCUAUCUAUGUCCCCCUUUAUUGUACCUGGGGGCUAACACACGUGUGCUACAAAUGGGCGGUUACAAACGAGAAGGCGAAACCUCGCGAAGGCCAANGCCGAAUCUCUUAAAGUCCAGUUUCUCAGUUCGGACUUGUAGGUCUUGNAACUCGNACUACACUGAAGCUGGAAUCGCUAGUAAUCGCGGAUCACACUGCCGCGGUGAAUACGUUCCCGGGUCUUGUACACAACCGGA
rnacentral:rRNA from 1 species